GAGAAAACGGCGGAUAGCAAAAAGCAUAUUGUACGGCAAAAAGCAUAUUGCACGGUUAUUUUUAGAAAAUAUAAAAACCGAUAAACUUUGUGACGUCAUGUAUUGAAUUUCAGGAUAUUGUUAAACGAUCUUAACGUUUUGAAACAGAUGAUAUCUGUGAUCGAUUAUUUGACGGAAAAAAUCUUCAAAUACUUAAGAUGACAAACAAACAAAAAAAAGCAAUUGAAAUAACAACUAAUAUUUUGUAUUGUUAAGGAGACAAUAUGAUAUCUAUAAAAUUCCAACAACAAAUCAAUGAAUGACGAUUUUGAUACAAAAUAUAUGGUCGGAAAUUAAUAAUAUAACAAAUAUAGCCUUUGUAUGAGGUCAAUACAGGAUAUAUCGACCCAAAGAAGUAUAUCGACCUCGGACUACGUUCUCAGUCAAUAUACUUCUUUCAGGUCAAUAUAUCCUUUUAUCAUAUGUUUAGUAGUAAAUACAGUAGUUUUGCAUGUUUGAUAAAUAGCCUGCUGUUUAAUCCGUAUCGCGCAACUUUGGUGCGCACCCUUUAUCGCAUACCCUUUAUCACACCCUUACCCUUUAUCGCAUACCCUUUAUCACACCCCUACCCUUUAUCACACCCCUACUUUUUAUUUUUUUUAUUUUUUUACAUAAAGUCAGUUUUGGAUAUUUUUUUUGCUUAUGAAAAAUUUUCCUCAAAAUUUUGUUUAAUGACGUCAUUGUUUGGUAUGUGACGUCACGAACGUCGUUUUCAUAUUGUAUGUGACGUCACGAACGUCGUUUUCAUAUUGUAUGUGACGUCACGAACGUCAAGUUUUCAUAUUUUUGGCACACUAAAUGCAACUAUAAAAAAUACAAAAAUAAACAAAGUAUUUUUAAAACAACAGCACGCAAAUUGUAAGGUAACCAAGGUGCUUCGGAUUAGUAAUUGAGCAGUUCUUUUAAGGCCUUUGAAACAAGACAGAAGUAGAACUGAAGGUAACCCAGUGCUAUGGAACAGAAAACAGUUCAUAUAAUACUCUUCUGUUGAAACAUAUGAUAAAGCGUAUAAUACAUGGCAAAAUCCGUAUCAUAUUUCGUAUCAUCCCGAGACAUCAAUAUCAGCUCGUUUAAUCCAUGCGUCGUUCGGUCACGCGUUGUCUUAUUUUUGAUAUACAAAUACGGCG
rnacentral:lncRNA from 1 species